CAGCUGCUUCACUCCUGUACUGUGGUCGUCACCAAAUUUCUCCUGGUUGACAAAAUCAUGAGAGCUGGGAUGUCCUCUCUGAAGGGCUGGUCUGCCUGUGAUGCUACAGAAUGUUGGGGGGGGGGGAUGGUUAUUUUUGUCCAAGUUUCAAGUGAUUUGGAAAAGAAUUUUCUCUUCCUGAUUGGAGAAAAGGAACAGGACAUUUGGCAUCUAUUCAAAUUAUAAUACUGUAAAUUUUUAUUUAUUUAUUUUUGCAUUGAGUGAACACACUUAAAGCAGGACUUUUUAAA
rnacentral:lncRNA from 1 species